GGAAAGAAACCAACAGGGAUUGCCCUAGUAACGGCGAGUGAAGCGGCAACAGCUCAAAUUUGAAAUCUGGCUUCCUUUGGGAGUCCGAGUUGUAAUUUGCAGAGGGCGCUUUGGCGUCGGCAGCGGUCUAAGUUCCUUGGAACAGGACGUCACAGAGGGUGAGAAUCCCGUACGUGGUCGCCUGCCUUCGCCGUGUAAAGCCCCUUCGACGAGUCGAGUUGUUUGGGAAUGCAGCUCUAAAUGGGAGGUAAAUUUCUUCUAAAGCUAAAUACUGGCCAGAGACCGAUAGCGCACAAGUAGAGUGAUCGAAAGAUGAAAAGCACUUUGGAAAGAGAGUCAAACAGCACGUGAAAUUGUUGAAAGGGAAGCGCUUGCCGCCAGACUUGCCCGUGGUGGUUCUCCUCCUCGGGCAGGCCAGCAUCAGUUUGGGCGAUCGGAUAAUGGCCUCUGUCAUGUAUCUUCCUUCGGGAUGACCUUAUAGGGGAGUCGUAGUACGGUCAGCCCGGACUGAGGUCCGCGCAUUUGCUAGGAUGCUGGCGUAAUGGCUGCAAGCGGCCCGUCUUGAAACACGGACCAAGGAGUCUAACAUCUAUGCGAGUGUUUGGGUGUCAAGCCCGAGCGCGCAAUGAAAGUGAACGGAGGUGGGAACCCUCUCUGGGGGUGCACCAUCGACCGAUCCUGAAGUCUUCGGAUGGAUUUGAGUAAGAGCAUGGCUGUUGGGACCCGAAAGAUGGUGAACUAUGCUUGAAUAGGGUGAAGCCAGAGGAAACUCUGGUGGAGGCUCGCAGCGGUUCUGACGUGCAAAUCGAUCGUCAAAUUUGGGCAUA
rnacentral:rRNA from 1 species